AUUGAGUGGCGGACGGGUGAGUAACGCGUGGGUAACCUACCCUGUACAGGGGGAUAACAGUCAGAAAUGACUGCUAAUACCGCAUAAGACCACAGCACCGCAUGGUGCAGGGGUAAAAACUCCGGUGGUACAGGAUGGACCCGCGUCUGAUUAGGUAGUUGGUGGGGUAACGGCCUACCAAGCCGACGAUCAGUAGCCGACCUGAGAGGGUGACCGGCCACAUUGGGACUGAGACACGGCCCAA
rnacentral:rRNA from 1 species